rnacentral:rRNA from 1 species
AUGUCAGCGGUUCGAGUCCGCUUAUCUCCAGCCCGUGAACUUAGCGGAUACUAUGAUAGCGAUAGCACCGAAUUUUGCCAAUUCGGCAGUUCGAUUGAACAUGAUUUCACAUUCAUGGACGUUGAUAAGAUCCUUCCAUUUAGUAGCACCUUAGGAUGGCAUAGCCUUAACGUUAAUGGCGAGGUUCAAAAGAGGAAAGGCUUGCGGUGGAUACCUAGGCACCCAGAGACGAGGAAGGGCGUAGCAAGCGACGAAAUGCUUCGGGGAGUUGAAAAUAAGCAUAGAUCCGGAGAUUCCCAAAUAGGUCAACCUUUUAAACUGCCUGCUGAAUCCAUGAGCAGGCAAGAGACAACCUGGCGAACUGAAACAUCUUAG